ensembl:lncRNA
CAGAGAACCACUGCUGUAUAGGCUGAGGGAUGUCAGUCCCAGUAAGGACAGGGAUUAGGCAGGUUAGGCAGGAGCCAGAGAACCACUGCUGUAUAGGCUGAGGGAGAUGCUGCAGGGGACGUCAGUCCCAGUUAGGACAGGGAUUAGGCAGGUUAGGCAGGAGCCAGAGAACCACUGCUGUAUAGGCUGAGGGAGAUGCUGCAGGGGAUGUCAGUCCCAGUUAGGACAGGGAUUAGGCAGGUUAGGCAGGAGCCAGAGAACCACUGCUGUAUAGGCUGAGGGAGAUGCUGCACGGGACGUCAGUCCCAGUUAGGACAGGGAUUAGGCAGGUUAGGCAGGAGCCAGAGAACCACUGCUGUAUAGGCUGAGGGAGAUGCUGCAGGGGAUGUCAGUCCCAGUAAGGACAGGGAUUAGGCAGGUUAGGCAGGAGCCAGAGAACCACUGCUGUAUAGGCUGAGGGAGAUGCUGCAGGGGACGUCAGUCCCAGUAAGGACAGGGAUUAGGCAGGUUAGGCAGGAGCCAGAGAACCACUGCUCUAUAGGCUGAGGGAGAUGCUGCAGGGGAUGUCAGUUCCAGGGGCACUAGGUGGGGAGACGGUUUCAUUGUCGGCUUAUUUUGUAUUUUUCCUUUAUUUAACUAGGCAAGUCAGUUAAGAACAAAUUCUUAUUUACAAUGACGGCCUAGGAACAGUGGGUUAACUGCCUUGUUCAGGGGCAGAUCGACAGAUUUGUACCUUGUCAGCUCAGGGAUUUGGUUUAGAAACAUUUCGGUUUCUGGCCCAACACUCUAACCACUAGGCUACCUGCUGCUAUUCUGAUGAUGUAACAGUGUUUGUUAGAGGGGAGGAAGAUGUAGACGAGGUUAGCAGGGCUUUAGUGUUGUUUGAGGGUGCGGCAUCAGCUAAGGUGAACUGAGGUUGGCUGUGAACCUAUAUGUUGCAGGGCCUCAGUAUACUGUAGCCAAAUGAAAUGUUAAAAUUAAAUAAUGUUUGUUUUAAUGAUGUACAGUAAAUAUUUGAGCUAAAUAAAGUUGAUGUAUUUUUGAA